ACGCUCGACACCUACGGGGGCAGCAGUGGGGAAUAUUGCACAAUGGGGGAAACCCGUGAUGCAGCGACGCCGCGUGAGCGAAGAAGUAUUUCGGUAUGUAAAGCUCUAUCAGCAGGGAAGAAAGUGACGGUACCUGACUAAGAAGCCCCGGCUAACUACGUGCUAGCAGCCGCGGUAAUCUGAGCGGGCUGGCAAGGC
rnacentral:rRNA from 1 species